AUUGAACGCUGGCGGCAGGCCUAACACAUGCAAGUCGAGCGGAGCGGCGGACGGGUGAGUAAUGCCUAGGAAUCUGCCUGGUAGUGGGGGAUAACGUCCGAAAACGGGCGCUAAUACCGCAUCCUAUCAGAUGAGCCUAGGUCGGAUUGGAUAGUUGGUGGGGUAAAGGCCUACAAAGGCGACGAUCCGGAACUGUUCUUAGCGGAUGAUCAGUCACACUGGAACUGAGACACGGUGCAGACUCCUACGGGAGGCAGAAGUGGGGAAGAGUGGAACAUGGGCGAAAGCCUGAUCCAGCCAUGCCGCGUGGGUGAAUAAGGUCUUCGGAGUGGAAAGGACUUUAAGUUGGGAGGCGUUACCAACAGAAUAAGCACCGGCUAACUUCGUGCCAGCAGCCGCGGUAAUUC
rnacentral:rRNA from 1 species